rnacentral:lncRNA from 1 species
UGGCGUGAAUUUAAUCUUUAUGAAGACAAGCUCCACAAAGGAUGAAAAAUGAAAAAAAAACUCUAUUAAGGUGCAAGAUGGAGAAAGAAGAGGUAGAACUAAGGAGAGGAGCAAAGAGCAGCAGCGGAGUCCCACAAACUCUGGUCUACUGUUCCUCUUCCUCGGGUAAACUCUUCUUCACCGAACCACCUUGGACGAUCAUAUCCUGUCCACCUAUAUGUGUAUCAGUUAAAAAGUGCUCAAGUUUCGCAAAAUGAUUCCAAACUGGAAAAUAUCAAGGAAAUAGAAAAAAGAAAAGCAUACCAAGAGAACUAUAAUGGCACAAACGUUAA